rnacentral:tRNA from 1 species
GUCCCCUUCGUCUAGUGGCCUAGGACACCGCCCUUUCACGGCGGUAACAGGGGUUCGUUUCCCUAGGGGACGCCA